rnacentral:rRNA from 1 species
AACGAACGCUGGCGGCAUGCCUAACACAUGCAAGUCGAACGAGAUCUUCGGGUCUAGUGGCGCACGGGUGCGUAACGCGUGGGAAUCUGCCCUUUGGUUCGGAAUAACAGUUGGAAACGACUGCUAAUACCGGAUGAUGACGAAAGUCCAAAGAUUUAUCGCCAGAGGAUGAGCCCGCGCAGGAUUAGCUAGUUGGUGUGGUAAAGGCGCACCAAGGCGACGAUCCUUAGCUGGUCUGAGAGGAUGAUCAGCCACACUGGGACUGAGACACGGCCCAGACUCCUACGGGAGGCAGCAGUGGGGAAUAUUGGACAAUGGGCGAAAGCCUGGUCCAGCAAUGCCGCGUGAGUGAUGAAGGCCUUAGGGUUGUAAAGCUCUUUACCCGGGAUGAUAAUGACAGUACCGGGAGAAUAAGCUCCGGCUAACUCCGUGCCAGCCGCCGCGGUAA